rnacentral:lncRNA from 1 species
GAAACUCAAACGCAAUUUAACUUCCAAAUACUCGUUUUUUUUUUCAACUUUAACUAAAUAACGUCCAAACUGAUACCGGUCUUUCCGAGUCAUUUACUUUACAACAACAACAACAACCCAGUAUAAUCCCAUUUAGUGGGGUCUGGGGAGGCUGUUUCUGAGGCAUUUACUUCUAUAAACAAUGCCCAGAAAACAUGAGGAGCAUAGGAGCAUCUUUCUUCU